rnacentral:rRNA from 1 species
GACGAACGCUGGCGGUGUGCUUAACACAUGCAAGUCGAACGGUAAGGCCCUUUCGGGGGUACACGAGUGGCGAACGGGUGAGUAACACGUGAGUAACCUGCCCUCAUCUCUGGGAUAACAGUCGGAAACGGUUGCUAAUACUGGAUAUGAGCUUGCAAGGCAUCUUGUGGGUUGGAAAGAUUUUUUUUGGUUGGGGAUGGACUCGCGGCCUAUCAGCUUGUUGGUGAGGUAGUGGCUCACCAAGGCUUCGACGGGUAGCCGGCCUGGGAGGGCGACCGGCCACAUUGGGACUGAGAUACGGCCCAAACUCCGACGGGAGGCAGCAGUGGGGAAUAUUGCACAAUGGACGGAAGUCUGAUGCAGCAACGCCGCGUGCGGGAUGACGGCCUUCGGGUUGUAAACCGCUUUCAAUUGUGACGAAGCUUUUUUGUGACGGUAGCAGUAGAAGAAGCACCGGCUAACUACGUG